rnacentral:rRNA from 1 species
GACGAACGCUGGCGGCGUGCUUAACACAUGCAAGUCGAACGGAAAGGCCCUGCUUUUGUGGGGUGCUCGAGUGGCGAACGGGUGAGUAACACGUGAGUAACCUGCCCUUGACUUUGGGAUAACUUCAGGAAACUGGGGCUAAUACCGGAUAGGAGCUCCUGCUGCAUGGUGGGGGUUUGAAAGUUUCGGCGGUUGGGGUUGGACUCGCGGCUUAUCAGCUUGUUGGUGGGGGAGUGGCUUACCAAGGCUUUGACGGGUAGCCGGCCUGAGAGGGUGACCGGCCACAUUGGGACUGGGAUGCGGCCCAGACGCCUACGGGUGGCAGCAGUGGGAAAUGUAGCAAGAUGGGCGGAAGCCUGAUGCAGCAACGCCGCGUGCGGGAUAACGGCUUUAGGGUUGUAAACCGCUUUAGCCUGUGACGAAGAGUGAGUGACGGUAAUGGGUAAAGAAGCACCGGCUAACUACGUG